CCCCCAAGUUUUAAUCCAAGGGCUUUGUCACCUUGAACUUCACUGAACUUCAUUCAGCUGGAAAACCUGGCUCUGGAGGAAAAAGGCACCAAUUCCAAGAUUUGAAACUGUUUUUUCCUAGAAUCAGGUCUGGCAUGAAAACAUUCAAUUCAAGGGAAAGAAAAAAGAAAUACACACAUAUAAAAAAAAUCAUAAAUAGGAAGGAUACAGUGUUGAAAUACAUAUGAAAAAAUGUGAAAAAACAUACCAGGAUAAUAUUUUUGAACAGUAUUAAUUGUCAUUUCAAGUGCUUUUAGACCAUUUCAAAAGAGAAUAUUCUGUUUCUGAAAUGGCACAUUCCCAGGUAAAACAGUUUCUGUCUUUUGUUCAGUCUCAUUUUAUGUGUUGUUGACUAGAAUGUUAAUGCAAUAAUUUACAGUUGCAUUAUCUUUAUGGUUGUAUAUUAUAAUAACUUAAUGGAGCAGAAAUGCAUUGCAGAUGGACAGAUAAAGACUGCCUGUGAAAA
rnacentral:lncRNA from 1 species